ACCCGGGAUAAAAAAAAAUGGUAAACCUUGCUUGUCCCCUUGGAACCCAUAGUCAGUGACUAUUGAAACUGAAACCUCAAAGCACCAAAAAGGAAAUGGCUGUUUCAUCCUCUCUAAUUCUCUCUCCAUUACACUUCAACUUCAUCGCUAACAACAAAGACAUCAACAAAAACCUCUCUUUUCUAUCUGCAAAUCCUCUUAUCUUCAACAUCUCCUCCAAACCCACCAACAUCAAUAAGGGCUCCUCCAUUGUCCUCUGUUCUUACAAAUCUGGAAGUGGUUUGACAGCUGAAGACAAGCGAGUUUUGCGUGAAAGAUAUGGUUUUGAUCCCAAUGAGUACAUCUCUGAGGCAAAGAAUGAAAGGAUAAAGGAAGGGAAAAAGCAAGGAAAAGGAAAGGAAGUAGUAGCAGAGGAGGAAGCUAAGGUCCAUAGAACCACUCAUAAGUUGCUUCAGGUUCUCGGAGGAAAGGCUAAAAGAAAGAAGUUGCUCUCACCUAAAGGCAUGGAUGUUAGACCAAUGAUGGAAGUUGUAAAAGGUGCUGCCUUUGAUAUACUGCAGGCAGCUGAUGGCUGUCCUGCCUCUUUACGCCCGGGUCGCUGGUUAGACCUUUACAGUGGUACAGGCUCUGUCGGUAUUGAAGCUAUCAGCCGAGGAUGUUCUGAGGCGCAUUUUGUUGAGAUGGAUCCUUGGGUUGUUUCAAAUGUUCUGCGACCAAACCUGGAAUGGACUGGAUUUCUUGAUGCCUCAGUUAUACAUCCUGUUCGUGUCGAAACUUUCUUAGAACAGGCAGACCGAUUUGCAGGUAAUGGACCAUUUGAUUACAUUAGUGUAACACCUCCAUACACACAAGUUGAUUAUGGAAUGCUAAUGUCUCAAAUUUCGAAGUCACCUCUUGUUGGAGAAAACACCUUUAUUGUAGUGGAAUAUCCUUUGAGGACGGACAUGCUGGAUUCCUGUGGAUGCCUUGUAAAGAUCAAGGAUAGAAGAUUUGGUCGGACACAUUUAGCAAUAUAUGGACCCAAAUGGGCACAGAAGAAAAGAAAAUCUGACAAGACCCUUCAAAAUACAACAUAGAAAGUUUAGCUACCAGUUUACUAGUCAAAGGUGGAAUGUCUUUCAAUUAUCUCCAAGUUUUGCCAUCAUCAAGAUAUAUCUGAGUGUUCAAGUUUUCCAUUAAAAAGCAGAUUCAAAGCAUCUCAACUUACCCUACAUGUACUUUUUCAAUGCUGAGGAGCUUUGGUUAAAGCACAUAUUAUUUUUGAACCUAGAAUCUGUUGGUCUCUCCAGCAUGGAUCCCCAUAAAGAGAAGCCAUUUUUUAUUCAACAGUGAAAGUGUGGUCCACUAUAUUGCUCCCACUUUUCAUUUUGUCUGAAAUAUUUGUGUCCAACACGUCUUCGAGUGUAAGAAUGUAAGUUAUAACUUUUCAAGAUGCAUGAAAGAAUUGAACAUACCUGUAUUAAACUUAUUAUUUUAUUCAAUACUUACACCCAGCUUGAAAA